rnacentral:sRNA from 1 species
UCACCUGUGAUGUGCAUUGGUUCUUCC